UACGGAGGAUGCGAGCGUUAUUCGGAUUUAUUGGGUUUAAAGGGUGCGUAGGCGGAGGAUCAAGUCAGCUGUGAAAUGUAGACGCUCAACGUGUGCACUGCAGUUGAAACUGGUUCCCUUGAGUGCGUAAGAGGCAGGCGGAAUUCGUCGUGUAGCGGUGAAAUGCUUAGAUAUGACGAAGAACUCCGAUCGCGAAGGCAGCUUGCUGGGCCGCAACUGACGCUGAAGCUCGAAGGUGCGGGUAUCGAAC
rnacentral:rRNA from 1 species